CCUACGGGUGGCAGCAGUAGGGAAUCUUCCACAAUGGGCGCAAGCCUGAUGGAGCAACACCGCGUGAGUGAAGAAGGGUUUCUGCUCGUAAAGCCCUGUUUUUGGAGAAGAACGUGCGUGAGAGUAACUGUUCACGCAGUGACGGUAUCCAACCAGCAAGUCACGGCUAACUACGUGCCAGCAGCCGCGGUAAUACGUAGGUGGCAUUCGUUAUCCGGAUUGAUUGGGCGUAAAGCGAGCGCAGGCGGUUGCUUAGGUCUGAUGUGAAAGCCUUGGGCUUAACCGAAGAAGUGCAUCGGAAACCGGGCGACUUGAGUGCAGGAGAGGAAAGCGGAACUCGAUGUGUAGCGGUGGAAUGCGUAGAUAUAUGGAAGAACACCAGUGGCGAAGGCGGCUGUCUGGUCUGCAACUGACGCUGAGGCUCGAAAGCAUGGGUAGCGAACAGGAUUAGAUACCCUUGUAGUC
rnacentral:rRNA from 1 species